rnacentral:rRNA from 1 species
AAAAACAUUGCCUUUCGAUUUUACUAUGAAAGGUUCAUCCUGCCCAAUGACUUUUAGUUCAAUGGCCGCGGUAUCUUGACCGUGCAAAGGUAGCAUAAUCACUUGCCCCUUAAUUAGGGGCUGGCAUGAAAGGACACACGAAAGCUUCCCUGUCUCAUAAUAAUAAAUAAAAAUUAAUCUUUAAGUGAAAAAGCUUAAAUAAAAUUGCAGGACAAGAAGACCCCGUUGAGCUUUAUUCUCUAUAGAUCAACCUAAAUAUUUUCUAUAUCAUAAACCUAAAAAAGAAUUUAGUUGGGGUGACUAAGGAACAUCAUAAACUUCCUCUAUCUACUUAGGGCCAUUUCCCAAAAAAAUUGACCCACAAACCGUGAUCAAAAAAAUAAGCUACCACAGGGAUAACAGGCUAAUCUUUCUUAAGAGCCCAAAUUGUCAGAAAGGAUUGGCACCUCGAUGUUGGCUUAGGGGCCCCUAAUGGUGCAGAAGCCAUAAAAGGUAGGUUUGUUCAACCUUUAAAACCCUACAUGAUCUGA